rnacentral:misc_RNA from 1 species
GAGAAGAACGUAGUGAAAUGCGAUACUUGGUGUGAAUUGCAGAAUCCCGUGAACCAUCGAGUCUUUGAACGCAAGUUGCGCCCGAAGCCAUUAGGCCGAGGGCACGCCUGCCUGGGCGUCACACGUCGUUGCCCCCCCAUCUACUCCUUCGGGAUUGCGGGGGGCGGAUGAUGGCCUCCCGUGCGCCUCGUCGCGCGGUUGGCAUAAAUACCAAGUCCUCGGCGACGCACGCCACGACAAUCGGUGGUUGCGAAACCUCGGUUGCCCGUCGUGUGCGGUCGUCGCGCAUCGAGGGCUCGAAAAAAUUGCCGGGCUCCGGCUCGGCUUUCAACGCGACCCCAGGUCAGGCGGGGUUACCCGCUGAAUUUAAGCAUAUCAAUAAGCGGAGGA